rnacentral:rRNA from 1 species
UACGGAGGAUGCAAGCGUUAUCCGGAAUCAUUGGGCGUAAAGCGUCCGCAGGUGGCUCAUCAAGUCUGCUGUUAAAGACAGAAGCUCAACUUCUGAUAGGCGGUGGAAACUGGUGAGCUAGAGUAUGGUAGGGGUUGAGGGAAUUCCCAGUGUAGCGGUGAAAUGCGUAGAUAUUGGGAAGAACACCAGUGGCGAAGGCGCUCAACUGGGCCAUAACUGACACUCAGGGACGAAAGCUAGGGGAGCGAAAGGG